rnacentral:rRNA from 1 species
CCUAACGUGAUGCUGCAGUGGGGAAUAUUGGGCAAUGGGCGCAAGCCUGACCCAGCAACGCCGCGUGAAGGAAGAAGUCUUUGGGGUUGUAAACUUCUUUUGACAGGGAAGAGCAGAAGACGGUACCUGUCGAAUACGCCACGGCUAACUACGUGCCAGCAGCCGCGGUAAUACGUAGGUGGCAAGCGUUGUCCGUAUUUACUGGGUGUAAAGGGCGUGUAGCCGGGCUGACAAGUCAGAUGUGAAAUCCGGGGGCUCAACCCCCGAACUGCAUUUGAAACUGUUGGUCUGGAGUAUCGGAGAGGCAGGCGGAAUUCCUAGUGUAGCGGUGAAAUGCGUAGAGAUUAGGAGGAACAGCAGUGGCGAAGGCGGCCUGCUGGACGACAACUGACGGUGAGGCGCGAAAGCGUGGGGAGCAAACAGGAUUAGAUACCCGUGUAGUC